rnacentral:lncRNA from 1 species
CAGCCUCCUCACCUCUCCCCUCUAGGCCUCCCCGACCACCCAAACGAGCUCGCGGAGCUCUCGUUGCCCUCCCAUGGCCGAAGCUUCGCCGCGGUGCUCCGCUCAAAUCCGGCCGACCCGAGCCACCCCUCCACUCCCUGAUCUUACCCUAGUAUUCCCCGUGCUCCUGCGAGUCUCCUCAACCCCAAGCCUUGCCGCCGGAGCAGCCACAUCGCCAUUCCCGCAUCUGCCCGAACCGCCGUCCGCCGGAGUUCAUGUCGUCGUCGCCUCAGUCCAUUCUGGAGCCCGUGACCUCCACCUUCGGGUGCGGCUCCUCCUGCUGAGCUCGCCCAUAGGUCGAGCGAGGCGAGGGAUGGCCGGAGCCGGCCGGACGAGCCCCCGCGCCGGCGACGUCCCUCUGCUCCGCGGGCGCGAGCGAGGUAGAUGAAGACGACGACCCCCCCUGCGAACUGGCCGCGGGCCCCGCGCGUCAGCCCCUCAGCCGUUGACCCGCCAGCCAUGUCAGAUAAGUGGAGACGAAUUUCCAGCUUUCCGUUUUCUCCUUCCAAAAGCGUAUUUCGCCUCUAUUUCAGCUAAAAUACGCUUCCCUUAUCUGAAAGCGUAUUAUGUAUCUGUUUCAGCAAGGAAUACGUUUUCCCUGAAGCCAAGGCGUAUUCUUUAAAGUACGCUUUCCGUUUUUCUGCCCAGGCCCAAUUUGUUAAGAUUUUUCUUACAGAUAGGCCCCUGACAGAGAAACAAGUGUAUCUUUUUACUCCUAGCUCCGAAUCAGGUGAAUCCAAAGCUCACUUCUUCGUUUCGUCGAGCCCGUUCUGAUGGAAUCAUUUUCAGCAUGUUUUGACAUUCUGAAAAUGACCAUUUUGCCCCUGCCUUAUUUAGCCCCCUCCGAGAGAGAACGUUUUCGACGAUCCUUUCCGCGAGCUUCUCGCACUUCUUUUCGGUGAUUUCUUCCACCCCAGGCAAGACACACCCUCCAUUUGCAUGAUUGCAAUGCAGUGACAUGGUUUCUUUAUUUAAACUUGUUUAAAAUAUUGUGUUAGCUAGGUAUGAUUUGUUCAUGGCAUUUCUCGGAGUAUUGUUUGAUCUUGAUAUUGCCAUGAUAUUGCUUGGAGUUCUAGGAUUAAUAUUUUGAUGAUUAUGUGGAUGACAUGUGCCUUCGGAUUCUUAGUGGUUAUUAUGAUUAUUUUUCAUGAUGGUAUCUGGUGAUAUUUUGGAGUAUUACUUUGGAUAUCAUGCUGCCUUUGGAUUAUUAGUGGUUAGUAUGAUUAUUUUUCAUGAUGCUAGUUGACGUUCUGUUGCUUGGAGUAUUAUUUUCGGAGAUGAUGUUUACAUGUGGAUCUUAGCCGAAUAGCUUUAUUCUUGUUAUUGGAGUAGUAGGAUUAUUGAUUUUCGGAUUCAUCAUGACAGUAGUGUUGUGCUACCCUUGGAGUAUUUUGAGAUGAGGAGAUUAUGCUUGGAUUAUUUGUUGGAUAUUGCUAUGACUUGGAUUAUAGGUUGAUAGAUGAUAUUGGAGUAUCAAUUACCACAGUUAUAUUUUUGGGGAUAAAUUCCGUCAUUAAGUUGGUCAAGUGCCACCGAACCGGGCUUUUCCAGUGCAACCACAUUUGCCUUUAUGGGAAGGCCCUAAUGCGGUCUAUUGUCAUGUCUCUCGCCGGUGCCUCCAACGAGGGAAGGUUAUGGGCGUGCGUACCCUGGCCCGGUAAGCAGACAUAACCUUGUGUGCCCGUUGUUGUUGUUAUGGAUCUGGUCCCCGUGAGGGACGUUUUGGCCACGACAGUGGUCGGUGUGUCUUUGGUAGACACGGGGCCACCCAGGACCAAACCCAGAAGGGAUGUUGGUCGGAGUGGCCGGGAGAGUGUCAUGGCAGUAGAUCGGUUUUGUCGGAACGCCGUUGGUCCACCCGAAUGGGAGUACGAGGUCAUGGGUUCUGUGGUGUGGGUACAAUGUGCUACCUCUGCAGAGUGUAUUAAUCUAUCGAUAGUCGUGUCCUCGGUCAUGGGCAUGGGUUCGUACUAGGUCCCACCAUUUGAUCAACACUCACAUGACGGAAUGACUUAUAGGUGAUUUAUAUGAUGAUAUAUUGUGAGCAGUAACAGUUUGGCAGGAUGUUGAUGAUGAUGUUGGAGACCAAGUGUUGGUCAUGGUUGUGAUCGCCGGAAAGAUCACAGUUUGAGACCAAGUGUUGGUUAUGGUAGUGAUCGCCGGAAAGAUCACCGUGUGGUUUUGAUCAUGAGUUGAUCGAGAUGGUAUAUUGCUUGGCCGGUUAGCUAAGAGAGAUAUGGUUAUGGAGAUCUGAGAUGGCGAUUUAUCAGCACCGUAUUAGUUUCAUCUCAUGCUUAGUAGUUGCUUCAUCAUGGUAGUUGUUAAUCAAUUAACCUGUUAAUGCUAUGUUAUUGUCUUGCCUUGAUGUUUAUGGUUUUUGUGAGCUUGCAAGUACAUUCAAUGUACUGACCUGGUGUGUCAUGCCAGAUUGCAGGUGAUGUCAUGAUUGCUUGAUUGCUUGUCGAGGUUGCCGUGCGUGCGAGCUAGAUCGUGUCCCAGCCAGAGUCCCUGCAGAGUGGAGUUCACCACCUUCGUCGUUGUUCCGCUGCUAGAAGUAUUCCGCUGCUACGAGUUGUUCCGCUGCUAGCAUAGAGCAAGUAUAGUAUCGCAGGCGUGGUGUCGCAGUGCUGAUGUGCUUCUUUGUAACAUCAGACCCUUCUAAUUUUUAUUCUUGUAAUAAGAGAUGAUUUGUUCUAUGUCAAGCAGUGCCGUAUUCCAGAGACUUCUCCUCGAUCUCUGGGCUGGAAUACGGGGCGUUCCGGUUUCUCUGAGCCGGGGUGCCACAUAGAGAGCAACAACGGUCAUGAAGAUGCAUUAUGCGUAAGUAACAUUGGAUACUAGCAUGAGUAGGAUAUGAACACAAUGAACAUAAAUAUCAUAGAGGCUAUGUUGGUUUUGAUUCAACUACAUGCAUGAACAUGUGCCAAGUCAAGCCACUCGAACAUUCUGAGGAGGAUACCAUAUCAUCAUACUACAUCACAAUCAUUUUAACGCAAUGUUGACAUCCAAGAUAAAUCAUUAUCCACACCUAGCUACUUAUGCAUGGCAUGAGAAACUAUAAUCUCUAAUGGUCAUUGCAAACAUGUUUAAUCAUAAUAGGCUGAAUCAUGGAUACUAGGUUAAACAUAUUUACAAAAACAGAACAAGUCGAGUUCAUACCCG